rnacentral:rRNA from 1 species
UACGGGGGGGGCAAGCGUUGUUCGGAAUUACUGGGCGUAAAGGGCUCGUAGGCGGCCAUUUAAGUCGGGGGUGAAAGCCUGUGGCUCAACCACAGAAUUGCCUUCGAUACUGGAUGGCUUGAGACCGGAAGAGGUAAGUGGAACUGCGAGUGUAGAGGUGAAAUUCGUAGAUAUUCGCAAGAACACCAGUGGCGAAGGCGGCUUACUGGUCCGGAUCUGACGCUGAGGCGCGAAAGCGUGGGGAGCAAACAGG